AAUAUUAAAAAAAAAAAAGAAAAAAAAUGCUAGCAUUACAUUGUGUAUACAUAAAAUUGCGUAUGCAACCCACAUCUAUAUAAUAGAACAUAUGAAAAAUCACUCAUUUUUUUUUUUUUAAGAAUUUAAAAAUGAAAACGUAUGCAAAAAGAUGUGUCUAUGAUUAUCAGCAUAUAUAUAUAUAUGUGCAGUUGUUUCAAUAACAAACUUAAUGUUGCAUUUUAUAAAUGUUAUCAAUCAAUUAAUUUCAUUUAUUUAUUUAUUUAUUUAUUUAUUUUAUUUUAUUUUUUAUAACACACAGAAAAAAAAAAUAAAAUAAGAGAAGAGAAGAAAAGAUAUAUAUAUAUUGCAUGUUUUUAUGUAAACAUAUUUUAGUCAACAUAGUGAAUAACCAAAAUUAGUAACAAACAAAGUCGUAAAAAUUUAUAAAAACAAAACAAAAUGACUAAAGAAAACAAAAUGACUAAAGAAAACAAAAUGAAUAAAGAAAAGAAAAAGAUUAAAGAAAAGAAAAAGAUUAAAAAAAACAAAAUAAUUGAUAAAAAUAAAAUAAAACGAAAAAAACGAAAUUUAUGGAAUAUGAUGAUGACGAAUCAAAAAGAAUCUUCUUAUAUGCAUAUGAACAGGAAUUAAAAAAUGAAACAAUAUGUUGGCGUAAAGCUGAAGAAUUAAAAAUAACAAAACAUAGCGCUAGUUCUAUGAGAGGACAUUACUUAAAUUCUAUAAAAAAUGAAACUUCUUUGUAUUUAGAAAUGUAUGCUGAAGAAGUAGCUAAAUUAUUUAUAAAAGUUAAAAACUGGACAAAAUUACAAAAAAGACAAACAAAAAAUAUACUAAAUUAUCCAACUAGUGUUAUCAGACAAACAUCCAACAUAUCACUAGAUCGAAUAGCAAAAAAAAAAGUUGCCAUUUUAAUAAAUUUAAUUCAUUAGUAAUCAGUAAAGCAUUCUCUAUGCAAGCUAUUAAACAUAUAACAAAACAAAAAACAAAACAGAUUAAAUUAGCUAACAAAAAAAGUAUAAUAACCGAGAAAGAUAAAGGAAAAAUUUUAAAAAAAGCAAAAACCAAAGUUGAAAUUGGAACCAAAAGUAGCGCCAAAAAUGAGGAAAAAAAAAAAAAAAAAAUAAAAAACAAAGAAAAAAAUAUAAAAAAAAAAGAAGGAAAAGACAGCACCAAAAAAGAAAAAAAAGACAAUACCUCUAAAACAGACAAAGAGAAUAAAACCCCAGUAAAAAUAACCGAUGUAAAAAUUAAUAAAAAUGCCACGCAAGAGAAGAACAAAAAGAAGAAGAAAUCAAAACAAGUAAAUAAAACUAAUAAUGAAAAAAAUAUAUUAAAAAUAAUAAAUAAUACUCCAAAAAUUAGUACAUUCUUUCCAGUUAAUACACAUAUCCAUGAAAAUACACCACCUCGAAAUAAUAUAUUAAUUACUAAUAAUGCAAUAACUAAUAAUAUAAUAAAUAAUACAUUUAAUGCAGAUGUAAAUGGAAAUGGUAAAGAUAUGGAUACAGCUGUAACAGAUGCUACAUCUACUACAGCUACAACGACUGAUAUAAUAAGAGACAAUCGUAUAGACGAAUUUUUAAGAUUUGAUUCUCCUAUAAUUCGAUGUAGAAGUAGUAAUGAAUAUAUGUCGCCUAGAAAAAGGAAAUCAGAAAAUUUAUUGUAUAGUUAUAGAAGUAAAGACUUAGGUGAUAUUAUUAAAUCAUUUGAGUAUACACCAGAUUCUGGUGACGAAAAAGAAAAUGAAAAAAAAAGAAAAAGAGAAAAAAAAGAGGCGCAAUUAAGUCAUUGUUUGCAUAUUUUUAUCAAAAAAUAUUCAACUAAACGUUGA
ensembl:lncRNA